AGUACGCUCGCAAGGGUGAAACUCAAAGGAAUUGACGGGGGCCCGCACAAGCGGUGGAGCAUGUGGUUUAAUUCGAUGCAACGCGAAGAACCUUACCAGGGCUUGACAUACUACAAAUUCUUUUGAGAAAAAGAAGUGCCUUCGGGAAUGUAGAUACAGGUGGUGCAUGGCUGUCGUCAGCUCGUGUCGUGAGAUGUUGGGUUAAGUCCCGCAACGAGCGCAACCCUUAUUUUUAGUUACCAAUUCGUUGGGUUCUCUAGAAAGACUGCCGGUGACAAACCGGAGGAAGGUGAGGAUGACGUCAAGUCAGCAUGCCCCUUAUGUCCUGGGCUACACACGUGCUACAAUGGUUAAGACAAAGAGUCGCGAGCUCGUGAGAGUCAGCUAAUCUCAUAAACUUAGCCCAAGUUCAGAUUGUAGGCUGCAACUCGCCUACAUGAAGUUGGAAUCGCUAGUAAUCGCUGGUCAGCCAUACAGCGGUGAAUCCGUUCCCGGGCCUUGUACACACCGCCCGUCACACCAUGGGAGCUGGUCAUACCCGAAACCGUUUGCUUAACCGUUUGGAGGGUGACGUCUAAGGUAGGGCUAGUGACUGGGGUGAAGUCGUAACAAGGUAACC
rnacentral:rRNA from 1 species